rfam:Schistosoma mansoni, Puerto Rico, WGS project CABG01000000 data, contig: 0250
AUCCACCUUACGAGUCCCAAAUAGAACGAAACGCGUGUCCUGGAU